UUGCGAUGAGUGUUCACACAGAUUGGUACGGUUUAUAACGUAAGAGAGCAGAGUGUUCCCAAACACUCACAACUAGUGUCCCGUUCGUCUAGAGGCCUAGGACACCGCCCUUUCACGGCGGUAACAGGGGUUCGACUCCCCUACGGGAUACCAUCUUUAAGCGCAUUUCUUUUGAAACAGAAAGACUUAAGUGCCUUUAAAAAUGGUUACUUCCUUGAGAAGUGAUUAGCUCUUUAACAAUUUGGAAAGCUGACGAAUAACAACCAUCCCCUUAUCUACGGAUAAGCGUUGUUAUUCAAUUAAAAGUUCUCAAAUCCUAAAACUGUGUUUUAGGUACCAACACACAUUCAAGUGUUCUUGGAAACAUCCUUGUGAUGUUUAUAUUGAGUCCGGCAAAAUCGAAUGUCUCUCGCUCAUUCAAUAAUGAGAGACACAAACCUUGGUUGUUUGAACAUACAAGACCUCUUGGG
rnacentral:tRNA from 1 species